UCAUUUAUAAUGAUGUCAUUGAAAAAAGAAAUCUAGUCCAAGUUGUGUAAUGGCUGCUACCUUCUCUUCUGCUCUCGCGUACGCGUUAUCCUGUGUUGGAAAAACCAGGUCUAGUCUUGAAAGACAAGCAGCUGGAGGCGAUGAAGUGUCUGUACGCUGGUGUUUAUGUGGGUACCGUACCGACCGGCUAUGGCAAGUCCCAGAGCAAGUCCAUCUGCUUUCCAGACACUCCCUUUCUUGAUUGAUGUGAAGCUUGACAGGACCAGUGCACCUCUCUCUGAAAGAAGUGUUGUGAUGGUGAUUUCUCCUCUUGUUUCUCUGAGUGAAGCCAUCUUCAAAGUGUUGGUGUGUCUGUUCGACGUUCAGUGCCAUUCUCUCUGGAAGGAAGUAUUGUUGUGACAUUUGCCGAAAAUUGGUCACAGAGUAAGUACGUGGUAUCUGAUCCGAGAACUGUGUGGCCUGAAUGGUGUUUACAAUCCGAGGGACUUGUGUGUAUCCGAUCCGAGGGACUUGUUGCUUGAGUGUGUAUCCGGACUUGUUGCUUGAGUGUGUAUUAAUGGAUAGUGCUUUCAAUGGUUUAACUAAUUUCUUAUGAGAUUAACUUGUCGCCUGAGUGUGUAUCCGAUCCGAGCCUCAAGUUAAUGAAUAAAUCUACAGAGCUGAUGUUUUACUUAGCUGUCUCUGUCUACAGUAUAUAUAGCCUCGAUUCCAGGCCGAUUAAUCGGCCUUGAAUCGAGGCUACAGUAUAUGCAGAGAGGUAGCCUCUUCUUUUUCUUUUUUCUGUUCUUUAUCACAAUAAGAUAAAAUACUGUUUUAUUGUUCAAUGAGAUAAAAUACGGUAAAUAAUAAAUUAAUUGUCCACCCACGCGCCAACAGUAAAUACCAGGCCCACUAUUCAAGGGGCUGGAGUCGAGGCUAUAAUUAUACCAACUAAAAUAAUUAGUUUUAUUGCACCUGCAUUAUAAGUAUCUGGUGUGUCUCCUUGCUCAUUAUACACGCCCUUUCUUUCUCAGUUAACCCUUUAACCGUCACGGGCCACGAUCGUGGCCCGCAAUAGUGACUUUUUUUGCGAAAUUCUAAUUCUGCGAUACUUAGGAAGUAGCUCGAACUACGCACAUCCCUGUAUAGAGGAAGAGCUGUAGAAUCACGUGCAAUUUAGUCUAGAAUUUUCCAAGCCACGUUGCUAUGUUAAAAUUUCAUUAGCAUCUUACCGCACAAAGUUUAUAGCUAUGGCUAGAUUGUUUACUUGUGCCGAUGUGCUUGAACAGCUUGAGGACAGCAAUGGCGAUGUCUCCUCUGGUGAUGACAGUGCCUAUGAAGGAGAGGGGAUAGUAGGAUACCUCCCAAAAGCUACCAGCUUUAUGCCAGACGCUGAUGAACUGUCUGGGGCUGAGGACAUGCAUGACAUGGACCUAGACGCUAGCGCUAUGGACCAGGACGGUGAAAGACCAGGAGAGGGCUCACUGUGUGACUCUGGCAAGUAGUAUAAUAUAGCUAGAAUAUCAGUAGUGUAAGUAUAGUAUAGCUAAAAUAGUAAUGAACAGUCUUUAUGUGAGCUUGUAAAUUUCAUAGAUCGUUCACCGAUAUAGUAAUACAUGUACGUAUUGUCUUCAAAUUGAUAUAUCUUAGCACUGUUACAUUCAUAUGAUGUGAAAAUCAAGCUUAGUCAAGCCUUUAUACCAUAUGAUUGGCUGAUCCAUAAAAAAAAUUUUUGGAUUUUAUCUCACCGCUGGCCGAGCAUUUAAAAUGAUAAAAACGGGUGAGCGUAAUAACCGUGGUUGUUAUGGCAACACAUGUUGCACCAUUUUAUUCCUUGUUGUAUGGGCAUUCUAUUGGUAUAUGGUUGCUAGGCAUUUUAUUGCUCUGGAAACCCGAUAGAGAAUUUACAGACAUUUCACUUCACUGUUAAUUAAGAAUCCGACGGUUAAAGGGUUAAAACACAAUAAUUAUACCAACUAAGAUAAUUAGUUUUAUUGCACCUGCGUUAUUGUACAACCUCCCGCUAGUCGAGUCACACUCCAAGAUCUAGUGAGCAGAUACAGUCUGACUGACGAGCAGCUCAAUAGUGAAAUAGGGGACUCCGAUAUUCCCUACCUGGCCAAAUAUUUUGAUGGUGUAAAGAUCUAUUCGAGUGCAAUAGGACUGACUCCUGCACAACAGGCCGAUGUGAAUAGGUUGUACUGUUAUGAAGGAACUCAAGUAGCCAUGACUGAAUGCUUGAUUCUCUGGAAAAGACACGAUCCUUUCGCAGCAACUCACAAAGCUCUACUGGAGUUGUUACUGGGAUUGAGAAAAGACAAGAUAGCUGAUGAUAUCUGUCAGCACUUGACUCAAUGAGGUAUCACUGUCUGAUGACAUUGUCACGUGUGGAGAGGUGUACAGGAACACUUGCUCAAGUAACUCUCUGUAGAAUGUUUGAUACUCACAAUUCAUUUAGUUUGCAAAUAGCUUCAUAAAAAUAUUA